rnacentral:misc_RNA from 1 species
UGCCGGCACCGUUCAUUCUGCUCCACGUCUCUUCGACAAGAAGAAAUCCCCGGAAACAAAACCGAUCAGAUACUCAGAAUCGGAACAACAAAAUCAACGACCCGCAACAAUCUCCAUUUGAAACAGAUAUAUCUCCUGAUUAAUCAACCAUUAGAACCAGAAGCACAGAGAUUGAAGAACAUUAACGAAAUUCCACGCAUAGAAAACGCGCGCGCGCCCACACACACACCCACUCUCUCCCUCUCUCUCUCUCAAUCGCG